rnacentral:rRNA from 1 species
CAGAGGUCCCAAGCGUUGUUCGGAAUUAUUGGGCGUAAAGGGUGCGUAGGCGGUAGGAUAAGUUAGAUGUGAAAUGUCGGUGCUUAACAUCGAACCUGCAUUUAAGACUGUCCUGCUUGAGCGCUAGAGAGGAGUCUGGAAUUUACGGUGUAGCAGUGAAAUGCGUAGAUAUCGUAAGGAAGGCCAGUGGCGAAAGCGAGACUCUGGCUAGAUGCUGACGCUGAGGCACGAAAGCUGGGGGAGCAAACGGGAUUAGAUACCCCGGUAGUCCCAGCAGUAAACGGUGCGCGUUUGGUGUAGGUUGGUUCGACCCUGCCUGCGCCGGAGCUAACGCGUUAAACGCGCCGCCUGGGGAGUACGAUCGCAAGAUUA